GAUGAAGGUCUACUACAGAAACCCUUUUCAAUGAUGAGCGGUCAACGAAUCUCAUGGUUCCAAAGCCACCAUGUGUUGGAAAGGGUUCAGAUGUGAGAGAGGUAAAAGUGAGGGAGACCUCACGUGGGAUUCAUUUUUCAACUUCCUUCUCUCUCUACUCUGACCUACUCUCUCUCUCUACCUCUAACCUGCCCCACCACACUAACACAUUUCUUGCUUCUCUUUCCACCAAACCAAGAUCAACCAUAGUGGUUGUCUUAGAACAAGCAUGAACAUCAUGAAGAUGUUCAUACUUGAAACUCAGAUUUCACGAAAAUUGUCCAAAUCCAAAAUGAAAAAUAAAACCCUAGCCUAAAAAUAGUCCUUGAUCAAGAAUCCAUCGUCAAAAUAACCAAAUAAGCAACUAUGAGCCCAGAUAGGGCUCAUCCCUAAAUUUAACUUAACCCCUUAAUUCUGUAUGUCCAAAUUACACAUAACAUACAGCAAUAGAUAAAACAACGUUAAUAUGCAGGAAAAACAAAAGGAAAGUGAAUAAGAAGACCUCGCCAAUGGUUUAAACUUCGGUGAGACUUCGGCGACCAACCUCGGGGUUGAUGGCAUGUGAUAAAUAGUGUUGGGAUGGUGAAGUUGAGAGCCAUCAUGAGGCUCAUGUGGAGCCCAAAACAAACUUAACUUUCUUCUUUUUUCUUAUUUUUUAAUUAUCUUUUUUGUAAUUUUUAAUUAAUGUAUAAAUUUAUUUCUGGAUGUAUGAAGUAUGUAUGCAUAUUGGAGGGCUUUGUGUAGUGAAUUUCAAUGUAACAAAAAAACCCAGUUGUAAUGUAAUGCAAAUAAUGUAAUUUUGGUAAAUAACUCAAUUCAAUUUUAUAUAUGA